rnacentral:misc_RNA from 1 species
CGCACCUUGCGCUCCUUGGUAUUCCGAGGAGCAUGCCUGUUUGAGUGUCUUGAAAUCAUCAAGCCCCGGAUUCGCGUCCGGAGGCAUGGACUUGGGGGUUCUUUGCUGCCGUCGCGCGGCUCCCCUUAAAUGCAUCGGUUGUGGCCCGUCUGGCUUUCAGUCCUCGGCGUUGUAUUGCCCUCGCCCCGCGUCUUGUCGGCAGCGCCCUUCCCCGACCGCCUCUGGAGCGGCGGUCAACACAAUUUUGAAAUCUGACCUCAAAUCAGGUAGGACUACCCGCUGAACUUAA